rnacentral:ncRNA from 2 species
CAUCGUCCAACAGCGCCUGGACUGCAGCUGCAAAUGCGGUGCAGUUGACGCGGAGGAGGUUGGCGAAGCAUUCGGCGGGUGCCUCCCGGCGUUUUCCGAUCACGCCGCAAGCAAAGCCUGAAAACCAUCGGGCGACCGGUGCGACAAGGGUGAGCAGAUCGG